UCAGAGUUAAGGCACUGCUAGAAUUUUACCAACAGCUGUUUUUGAUAUAUCUUUUUAUUACUGAAAAAAAAUAAAAUUAAUGUCUAAUAUUAAUAAAAUAACUAAAUUGACAAUCUAAGUGCAAUGGCUGAUGAAAGUAUAAUACUGCCGCCGCUGGCCUCACUGCCACAAAUUCCGACUGUCAUAUCAGUCAGUUGCAGCUUUACCUUAGCCGUCAUCUAUGUGGGAAGUCUAUAUGUGUGGAGCACCAAGCAUAAUCGCGAUCAUCCGACAACAAUAAAGCGACGCUUCGCCAGCGUCUCCUGUGUCAUGUUAAUGGCGCCGCUUUUUGUUUAUUUCUUCUCAUCACCAGAAUUGCUGCAGCGAGAGCCAUUUCCCAGCCUGCUCGGCUUCCGCUGGCAGGGACUGUGGCAGGCGAUUGUGAUACCAUAUCUGCUCACCGCUCUGUUGUUUUUGGGACCCAUCUUUGUGAACAUGCAGAACGAAUCAUUCCGUUCAUACUUCGACCUGGAAGCCUGGCGUGGCUCUUGUACCAGCAUUAUAUGGAUACGUAACCUUGUGAUGGCACCGCUGAGCGAGGAAUUCGUUUUUCGUGCCUGCAUGAUGCCACUUAUACUGCAAAGCUUCACACCCAUGACUGCCGUAUUUAUAACGCCACUCUUCUUUGGAGUUGCACACCUGCAUCACAUCGCCGAGCGUUUAAGUGUGGGCAUGGAGCUUAGUACCGCAUUGUUCAUCGGGCUGUUCCAAUUCACCUAUACGACGCUGUUUGGUUUCUAUUCGGCAUUCUUAUUUGCCCGCACAGGCCAUUUUGUAGCUCCGCUGCUGGCUCAUGCCUUGUGUAACCAUAUGGGACUGCCCGAUGUACAAGAUCUUUGGCAGCAGAAUUUGUGGCGACGCGUUCUUGCAAUUGGUUUGUAUCUUGUAGGGCUUGCUGGUUGGAUUUACCUGCUGCCCGUUGCAACUGAGCCGUCGCUGUACAGCAAUAAGCUUUACUGGAAUGUUUAGAAACCAAAAAAAGGAGUAGUAUGAUCAUUGUAUUGUUGCCAUAAUCGAGACUUCGGUAUCUCACAGCCCACAUACAUAUAUAUUUAUGUAUAUUAUUAGUUAGUCAUAUCAUAGGAAACCGACUGUACAAUGUUUAGAUAAGUCUUCCGUUAAAUAAACAGUGCUACUAUUUUAAGAACAUGCACAAAUAUCGGCUUAAGUUUGGCGCCAAAUGUGUGGAGCAACCCUGCGUAUCACGACUAUCGAUAUUACUAUAACAUCUCACGAUAGCUUGGCAGCUGCGACAGCGAUAACGAUUAUACGUCAUAUGUGUAAAAUGUUUUAAGAAAUUAAGAAGCAUGAGCAAUGUGUGAUAAAAAAAAUACGCACAAAAAACUGACGCUGAAAUUAGCAACGAGCACUCCAGACAGCCGGACUUGUGGCAGCAACAACAAAGCCAAAUAAACGACACGUCAACGUUGCGGCCCGAAAAUGUAUUGCCUGCAAUGUUUACUCCCCGUAUUGCUCAUACCAAAACCCACAAACCCAGCGCUUAUGGAAACGCAUGUCAUGUUCAUAGUGCUAUAUUUAAUAGGCUUCUUUCUGGAACGGAAGCCAUGUACGAUCUGUAGCCUGGUAUUUAUCACCGCCGUUUCGCUGAUCUGCUACAGCGGCGUGGGCAACUGCAUCUUCUGGGGCAACUGCGAGGGCCAUCACUGUGAAAAUGGUUAAACGCCGCCAAACCAAUUCAACAGCAGUACACAGAAUACAGGAGUGCUAAAUAAUAAUUACGUUCGCGUUGCUACAGCUUUACAAUACAUACAAUUUGCAUACACAAACAAAGAAACCAACCAACAAACAAACAAACAAACAAUCAGUGAUAAAAGUGAGUGAGUCAACAGGAGAGGAGGAGAGCCGAAGUGUGUGGUAUCUACGUACGUAACUCGUACGUGAAAGUUUGUAAACAGAAGAGGAAACUAAACUAUAUAUCUGUGCCCACUCAAGAAAGCCAAAUGAAAAUAUUAACAAGUCCAUCCCAACGCGUUCGAUAGCCUGUUUCUGCUGCUGGUAUUUUGUGUUUAUGUAUUUUAAUUUAGCUAAAUUUUCUGCCGCUCCCCCCAAAUCCAAUUCGUAUUCAACUGUUUUAUUUAGAAUUAGAGGCGAGAGUUUCGUUUUAACAAGCGCUACAAAAUGUAUUGUAAAUUUUCUGAUUAUGAGGAGAGGUACCCCGUCAAUGCAACUAAGAGAUUAGUCAUAUGUUAUUAAAAUAAACUAAUUGUAAAAAGAAAGAAACGAAUUAUAAUAUUGCUGUGCGUCCUUGCUGCGCCAAUGGACGUUGAUAUCGGUUGUUCCCUGUCCUGUGCACAUGCAAAUUGUAUAUAUAUAUACACACACGACAUGCAUACAUAUAUACAUUACAUUUGAUUGAUAUAUAAAUGUAUAAAAUAAUCAAAACAAAAACAAAGAAAAGUGUUGGAUUUUUUUUACGAAUUGCACUUCGUAAACUUAAUUUAAGCAACGACAAGUUUUCCAAUUUGUUUGGACACGAGUUUAACAAAAAAAAAAAAA
rnacentral:misc_RNA from 1 species